UAUUUUCUUGAUUAAUCAAUUAGUUGUUCGGUCUAUAAAAUGUCCGAAAAUGUGGAUUAGUGGUCUUUUCCAAA